rnacentral:lncRNA from 1 species
AACUAUUGGUCAGCAAUUAGCCUUUAUAAUAGUGGAGGAAAUAAUAUAUUGUAAUCUGUAUUCACCAAAUGUCCUCUAGAUUCUGAAGCCUACCUUGAGGUCAGCGUUCCAGCAGAACAAAGAGUGAACAAUCCUGAGGAAAUGAAAGAGAAAAACAAAACUGAAGGCUCAUCUGGAACCUCCAGAAGUGCUGUAUCCCUGGCCAUGGUGCUUCCACCUGAAGUUCCUUGUGAGAAUCCUGGUGAGAUAUUCAUUUUUCUGAAAGAUGAAGUAGUUGGUGAAACCGUGGAGGCUGAGUUUGUAUCACAUGCUAAGUACAUUCGAGCACGGCUGGCCCUUUGGGAUAAGAACGUCUGGUGUAUGAAAGCUCUAGAUUUUCCUCCUGGGCCAGUCAAUGUCCGUGUCUACUGUGAUGGAAUUCUGACAGCCACAGGAGAGAUGAAAUACUCCUCGCCAGCCAUGGUGGUGAAAGGUCCAACUAGAGCGGCAGACUCAGAAGGGACUUUGUGCUGGAAUGAUAUUGAAGAACUUGAUGGCAUUCUUGCAUCCAUAUUCAAACAUGAGAUACCAUAUUAUGACUUCCAAUCUCUUCAAAGUGAAAUUUGCCCUCAAAAUGAAUAUAUGCAUAUCAACGAACUCCCAACUCUCCUCCACUGUGCUGCAAAGUUUGGCUUAAAGAACCUGGCUCUUCAUCUGCUUCAAUGUUCAGGAGCGAACUGGGCAUCAAAGAUGAAAAAUACAAGUGGAGCAGAUCCAGCUCACAUUGCUAAAAAGUACGGGCAUGAAGAACUCAAGAAAAUCUUUGAAGACUUUUCAAUCCAAGAAAUUAGUAGAAAUAAUGAGCAAUUAAAUGACGAUGAAAAGGAUAGAGCCUCCCCUUCUGCAUACUCUCCUUCCUCAGAGAGUACGGCCUUGCACCGUGGAAGGAGGACCAAGCCCAGGCAGAGUGAGGGAGUCACAGACGCCACCGAGGAGACGGGGGAGGGACAGGAGCCUGAGCCAGGUGAGGAUGUGCAGCUCAGCCCCACAGAGGGGUCCAGCGAGAGCUCUGAGGACCCCUAUGAUGACCUGUAUGUCUUCAUCCCGGUGACCGAGCUGGACCCUGAGGGAGAGCCGCCAGCCUGCUGCAGACCCCCGCUGCCCUCACCGCGCCCAGCCUGUGCUGCCCUCCAGCCCGAGAAACCUCCCUCGGCCUCGCAGGGGAAAACUGGGGAAAGCCCGGUGGAAAGAAGUCACAACUGGAAUGAUUUCAGGGCAAGACAGGAAACAAGAGAUGAACCCAAAGGAGGAGAAGCAAAGAAAGAAGAUGAAAAGGUGCAGGAGGCAGAGGAGGACCCAUACACGUUUGCUAAGAUUGAUGAGAACGAGUACGACAUGAUUCUGAGCAAUAUGAGUGUAAAGAAAAAACCUGGAAGCCAGUCUUUCAUCAUGAACAGACCUCCCGCGCCCACACCCCGACCCACCACCACCUUUCCCAAAGAGGAGACCAUGUCUUACAUAGCUCAAGUUUUCCAGCAGAAGGCAGCCAGAAGACAAUCUGACAGUGACAAGUCCCACGGUCUUCCUAAGAAACCAGACAAAGCACGGAUGGAGAGCCCAGCCAUGUCCAUUCCAAGGGGCUGCCUGGCAGCCGGGCAGGAAGAACUCAUCCUCCUGCAGGAGAAAGUCAAAAAUGGGAAGCUGUCUGUGGAUGAAGCCCUGGAGAAAUUCAAACAUUGGCAGAUGGGAAAGAGCAGCCUGGAAAUGAUUCAGCAGGAAAAGCUACGCCAACUACGAGACAACAUUAUUGGGAAAAGACCAGAAGAAGAAAAUAUCUGUGAUAAACUCAUCAUUGUGCACCACCCAAGUGGUACCACUGCCCACAAUGAAAACAUGUUGCAUAACACCCCCUUCAGCAAUAAGGUUCCUGCUCCACUCCAAGUUGAAAAAGAAUUUGGUUUCUGUUGCAGGAAAUAUCAUUAAAGAAGGUAUUAUAAUGAAACCCCAGACUGCAGACACUGUGCUUUCUGGGAGAAGCUAGCUCGCAUUUGGAUUUUCUUCUCCCUCCAGGGCAAAUUUAUACUGUGAAUUCUUGAAAGCAGAAGCAAGCCGGGGAUUUGGGGAUAUGUAAUUACCACAACGUAUUGGUGAUACCUGUCUCAAAUAAGUCCAUCCAUGCUGGAAUAGCAUAUCAUGGACCAAUGGCAUUCUGGGAAAAUGCCUGUAUUUUAAAACGACUUUGUCUCCAAUGAAAUGAGUUCUCAUUUUGCAAAUUAAAGAAAAAUAAGAGCAGAGAAGGUAAAUGCUGUAUAGCAAGGUGACAGGGCCCCUCAAGGGGCCAACCUGAAUGGCUUACUCCUCUUCUGAGACUCACCUUGACAGCACAGACUCCCAGCUUACACAUUUGCCUUUUAGGGACAGGUCUGCUGUCUGUAUUUCUUACAACCAGAGCUCUUAUUACUUUUGUUAUAUCGUGUUUCCAGAAACCUUCCUGUAUUUAGUGCCUCUCUGCAUGUAACCCUCAAAAACAUUCUAUUUUAAAAAGUUUUUUCUGUACUUCAAAUUAAGAUGCAUUUCUAUAACCUGUAUUUUUUAUUAAAAAGCUCUAAAAUUGCAUCUACUUAUUUCUUAGAAACAAUUUACUAGCUUGAAAUAGAAUGCAGUGUUAUAUUACUAUUUCCAUGCACAAAUACUGCAAAUAAAUUGAGUGUUUAAAUCUGUGCGGCUUUUCAAAACAAAUUAAUGAGAAUUAACCAAAAAAUGUUUCUGCUGAUUUGUUUAAAGGAAGUCUACCAAACUCUUUUAAAUAAGCUUGUUUAUAUUCAUUAGAUAAGCCCUAGAGAGAAGAAUAGACAUAAAUGAUUUUUUUUCUUCAUUUCUAAACAUUGACAGCAGUGUCUGUUUGGAGUCAUUCUAAAAAAUACACAUCCUAGGUUUCUGAUACCGGUUAACAUUCUCAAAUAAGCUCAACUUUUAAAAAUAAUGCAGUAGCUUCAUCAGUCCCUAAUAGAAAGUACUUUUGAUUGUGACUUCUGGAAAUUUAAUCUGUAGUUUCACAUCCAAGAUUUCAAGAAAUUGCAUGGCCUCCCCUGCACUGAGGCCCAUGCCUAUGAACCACCCCAUUCAGGGAGUUAGAAAAACCAAUAGGAGAGCUGAGACCUUUUCUGCAAUUUCCCAGAUACAUGCAAUUCAAAUAAACACAUCAUGUCUAAAGGAAGAGCUUGCAUGCAGAUCUGGGACUGAUGACUACAGUUCACCAUUCACUGGCUUUGUUCUUAUUAAAAAUGUGAAAUCCAAUGGCAGGUAAAAUGCCAGCCUUUCUGAUCAUAACACGAUUCAUUCAUUUCUUCCCUGAGACAUAGUCAAGGAUGAAAGUGAGAGAUAAGGCCUGAGUGUUAUUUAGGUAUCAGGUUAUGCCCGAGAGUUAUCAAGGGACUCCCAAUUGCCUGAAUGAGGAUACAGCAGGGGAUAAAAGAAUAAUAUACAAAAAAACAAGGAAUAAAGAAAUGAGAACAAAUGGUAGAUUAUUACUUGGGGGCCGGGGUCUGAUCUUAGCUCUCUCCUGGCUAAGAUCACACGAUCCUCCUUCUUGUCAGCAGUUAUUGUUUACCCAACAUAGCAGAGUGCAUACAGGCAGAUGUAAACAAUAGCAAAACCAAUGUACUAUUGGGCCAGGCUUGGAAAAGGGAGGAACAAUGCUUUCCUGUGAAGGACAGCUCACAGUUAACAGGCCACCUGUGUUAUCUUAUAGGUUGUAGCUAACAAGCCACC